AAAAAAAAACACAAGGAUUUGAUUGCCAAG
rnacentral:piRNA from 1 species